rnacentral:misc_RNA from 1 species
UAUCCGUUGGUGAACCAGCGGAGGGAUCAUUACUGAGUUACCGCUCUACAACCCUUUGUGAACAUACCUAACUGUUGCUUCGGCGGGCAGAGGUCCCUCGCGGAUCUCUCCCGGCAACGCCCUCACGGGCGGAGCGCCCGCCGGAGGAUACCAAACUCUAUUUUAACGACGUUUCUUCUGAGUGGCACAAGCAAAUAAUUAAAACUUUUAACAACGGAUCUCUUGGUUCUG